rnacentral:rRNA from 1 species
UACAGAGGGGGCAAGCGUUGUUCGGAAUUACUGGGCGUAAAGGGCGCGUAGGCGGCCUUCUAAGUCGAACGUGAAAUCCCCAGGCUUAACCUGGGAACUGCGUCGGAUACUGGUUGGCUUGAAUCCGGGAGAGGGAUGCGGAAUUCCAGGUGUAGCGGUGAAAUGCGUAGAUAUCUGGAGGAACACCGGUGGCGAAGGCGGCAUCCUGGACCGGCAUUGACGCUGAACAGCGAAAGCCAGGGGAGCAAACGGG